GGUCGGGAGGAAUAUAGCCUUGGAGACAAGGAGGUCAGUUUGGAGAAUGUCAACCCGGAGGAAGCCGAUCAUGAAGAGAUUGGCCUAGAGCUCUAUUAUACAACCUUUGAGAGAGCUCAACUUGAAUGAACACGGGCUUCAAAAGCUUAACUUGGAUGAACUUGGCCUUUCGAUAACUCGCUAUAUAGGCAUACAGUACAAGUUUAAAACGAAUAAACGAAUAAACGCUUUUAAACAGCGAAGCCACCGACAUCGUAAACCCAAACCACGAAAGGGGCCCCAAAGCAGCACUCGUAACGUCGUUCUAUACCACUGGUCUGAGCACCACACCACCCACAAUCCCAAGAGACUCCAUCUUUUUCGCGCAGCAGACAAAAAUCCUAGCCACCAACCUAAAUCCUAUCAACGAACAAUUACGAAGAAAAAGAGACCAACAAUUUCAUCAACAAUUUGUCGUUUUGUGCCACUUCAUCCAACAAUUACAAAAUUAAUAUCCACGCCAUUGGUGUUAACGUAGCAUUUCUCCUAAAAUAUACAUGGUCAUCGGAUUAGCCGUAGCCAUAAGACAACAUGCUGUUGGCUCAACCCAUUUAUUUCUCUCCCAACUUUCCCACUCUCACCAAGAAGACAAGUUUCAGAGCUUCACUUCAGCCCCACAACAAUUUUCCUCCUCUCAGAGUUUCACCAAUGCCAAAACCACUUGGUGUGAGAGCAAGAAUCAAAACCCUGUCGGUUCCGUUUCAGAAAAAGAGUGCUGUCCAAAUCUGCCAUAGCUUGAAGAAAGAGAGCGAAGUUGGUGGGAAUGAUGGGAGAGACUGGACAACCUCCUUUUUGCUCUUUCUCCUGUGGGCAGCACUUAUCUACUAUGUCUUCUUUCUCUCCCCAAACCAGACCCCGUCAAGGGAUACAUAUUUCCUGAAAAAGCUCCUGAAUCUGAAAGGGGAUGAUGGUUUCAGAAUGAAUGAAGUGUUAGUAUCAUUGUGGUAUAUAAUGGGCUUGUGGCCAUUGGUAUAUAGCAUGCUCUUGCUUCCUACAGGAAGAAGCUCAAAAAACAGUAUUCCUGUAUGGCCCUUCCUCAUACUUUCAUGUUUUGGAGGUGCAUAUGUACUUCUUCCUUAUUUUGUACUUUGGAAACCGCCAGCACCUCCUGUUGAAGAAACUCAGCUUAAAACAUGGCCCUUGAAUUUUCUGGAAUCAAAAGUAACUGCAUUGAUAUCACUUGUUGCAGGGGUAGCCAUCAUAAUUUAUGCUGGUUUAGCUGGACAAGAUGUGUGGACAGAAUUUUACCAGUAUUUCAGGGAAAGCAAAUUUAUUCAUAUUACCUCCAUUGAUUUUAUUGUACUUUCCACAUUUGCACCAUUCUGGGUUUACAAUGACAUGACAGCACGAAAAUGGUUUGACAAAGGUUCUUGGCUUCUUCCCAUAUCAUUGAUACCAUAUUUAGGGCCUGGUUUAUACCUUCUCCUGCGGCCAUCAUUAUCAGCAGUGGCCAUUUCGCAAACUCCUGUUGAACCAAAGUGAAAUUACAUGUGAUGACUGCCAAUAAUACAAGUGCACACGUUCUAUGCAACAAAACUUGAUUUGGUUUCAAGUUUGGUUCAAGAAGAUAAUUUCAUUCUACACAGUCCACAACAAACUUACAUUUCCUACAUUUUUAUUAUUAGAUGGGAUCCAAUUUCAAAGAAAGAGCAUUAUUGUCUUUGUGACAUCACUUAGCCAAUCAUAAUCUUUGUACUCAGCGAAAACAGCUAGCGGCUCAACUAUUUCUAAAUCUGCUGGCAAUUCCACUUAAGACUUAUAGUCUCCAAUCGUUUUCUUAAGAAGUGACACAUGGAACAUUGAAGGUAUCUUAGAGGUAGCAGGAAGUUUCAAUGGAUAAGCCACCAUUCCUACAUGCUCUAGCACAUCGAAAGGUCCAUAAUAUCGAGCGGACAACUUCAAAUUGAUACAGACUAAUACUGAAGGCUGCCGGUGUGGUUUCAAUUUCAAGAAAAACCAUUCUCCCACUUGGAAGCAGCGUUCUUGACGAUGCUUAUCUGCUUGGGUUUUUAUCCUAUAUUGGGCACAAGCAAGGUGGAUCUUCUAUUAUCUAAGUGCUUUAUCUCUGUCUAACAAUUCCCUUUGGACAACCUGUACUCUGACUUCACCUUGAACCCAUCUCACCAUAAUGGGGGCUUGCAAGCAUACAUAGCUUCAAAGGGGGUUGUGGUUGUGGACUCAUGAUAAGUGGUGUUAUACCAAUAUUCAGCCCAUUGAACCCAUCCCUUUGGUUGGUCUGUAAUGAAGCAACACAAAUAGGUCUCUAAGCACCUAUUCACUACCUCCGUUUGUUGGUCGGUUUGUUGAUGAUAUGACGUGCUCAUUUUUAACAAUGUGCCUUGUAAUCGAAAAAACUCUUUCCAAAAGAAGCUCAAUAAUAGAGGAUCAUGAUCACUCACCACUGAACUAGGAACACCAUGAAGCUGAACCACUUCUUUCACAAAUAUUUCUGCAAUGCUCUUUGCAGUAUAAGGGUGUUUCAGAGGAACAAUAUGACUAUAUUUAGUCAAUCUAUAACUAUCACCAGAAUAGCCUCGUACCCUUUUGAUCAUGGCAGCCUUGUGAUAAAGUCUAAGGAGAUAUCUUCCCACACCUUUUUCGGAAUAGGAAGAGGUUGCAAAAGACCUCUCGGUGCAGCAAUGAUGUAUUUCUGGCAUUGACAAGUGCCACAACUCUGAACAUAGUCUUGUACAACUUUUUUCAUACCUUUCCAAUACACAUUUGAGGCUAUUCGUCUAUAUGUACGGUAAAUGCCUGAGUGUCCUCCUUGAGGGGUCAAAUGAAAUUAUGAGUAGUAGGGGAAUCCAAGAGGAAUCCUCAUUCACCACCAAUCUGUUUCCAUAGAGCAACACUCCUUGCUUAGAUGUGAACUUAGGAUACUUAUCUGAUCCUUGCUGCAACGCUUCUAUAACUUGUUGCCAUUUCUUGUUUGUAUGAACUUCAACUAUUAUCGCUUGACAAUCCACCCAUACUGGAAAAUAAAUCAUA